rnacentral:rRNA from 1 species
UACGGAGGGUGCAAGCGUUAUCCGGAAUCACUGGGUUUAAAGGGUGCGUAGGCGGUUCGUUAAGUCAGUUGUGAAAUUCCCCCGCUUAACGGGAGGGACUGCGAUUGAUACUGAUGAACUUGAAUCAGGUUGAGGUAGGCGGAAUGUGACAUGUAGCGGUGAAAUGCAUAGAUAUGUCAUAGAACACCGAUUGCGAAGGCAGCUUGCUGGACCUGUAUUGACGCUGAGGCACGAAAGCGUGGGGAGCAAACAGG